CUGUGUGGCCCGUCUUGGCCAAAGGGAUGUAAGGAGAAGUUUGCUGGGAGGACAAGCUUCUGGAGAGAGUGUUCCUCUUCUCUAAAGAGACCGGUGAGAAGAAAUGCACUGCUUGGUUAUGGAUUAUUUUCGUCGACGCCACUUACGUGAUGAGAUGAGGUCUUCUGGAAAGUCUUCCUCACUUAAAAUGUUCCAGGCCUGUGCCUGUACUUUCAAGGCAUACCACCAGGGAUAAAAGCGACCAUCAGAGACCAGCUGAAAGGAAGAGGCCACGGCGGAACCUCCCUAGCGUGUCACGUCC
rnacentral:lncRNA from 1 species